rnacentral:tRNA from 1 species
GGAGAUGUGGCAGAGCGGCCGAAUGCACUGGUCUUGAAAACCAGCGGUGGGAAACCAUCCCAGGGUUCAAAUCCCUGCGUCUCCGCAA